AUCUCUUCCUGGAGGUUGCUCCUUGUGGAGUUUUUAUGAGCCUCCAACACCGGUUGCACGUUUUGUGACUGCAUAAGAGUUCAAAGUAAACUUUAGGAAAACUGGAGGGGUGUCCUGUGGCCAUGCUACUCUUUUGUGGAGUUGAAAGGGAAAAGCUGCUUCAGACUAUUCCUGCAGUGAAUGAUGGAGAAUGAGAAGACAGAGGGCUUCACUGGUUCUUGGAGGAACUGAAAUUCAUUUAUAAAGCUAGAGGGCAGCCAGAUCUUCUUUAACGCUGAAGAGAGCUCAUUGACAUUUGGCAUUUGAUGUCCCUCUUUCUUGCAAUUGGAUAAAAUGGAUAACAAGGAUAUUCAGGGAAGGUAAAGCUUUUUCACAGAAUCAGCAGCAUUUGGGCUUUUUAUACAUUUAUUUAACCACUUAGAAUCUGUCUCUACUCAAACUUUUGUGUUUUUGUGCUCUGUCUGGACAAAGAAGAAACCUGUCCUGUAACACUGUCGUUUUUAUUAUCAGGAUGUUUGAUUAAUUUUUCCACAAAUUGAACUUAAAGGCCAAGCACUUUUUCCUUUCUCUUGCAUGCAUAUAAUAAAGCAUCUUGCUCGUUAAAGCCAACACUCCCAACUGGAAUGUGUGUCUGCUGUCCUAACAGGAAAUUAUCUAUAUUGUCUAAAGCUUUUAUUUUGAGGGUUCUAAUAGUACUCUUAUUCAAAAGUUCAUUUCUCCUAAUAUGAUGGUUCUCUAAUUAAUGGUCAGUGAGAUACUAAUCCUGUUUAGCAUGUUGAAUCCCUCCAUCUGGACAAGUUGAAUGCUUGGUUUUAAUAUAUGUGAAAGAAUCUUGUAUUUUUAGAAAUGUUUAUUAAUAAAUGUUAUACUCCAGCAACAGAGCUAGUCACAGAUAUUUGUAUUCUCAGUGCAUGGUGCCAGCCAUUUGUCAAGUUGAUCCCUUUGUCAUCAACUGGUACAGGAAUUCUCGAUGUGGAACUGCCCUGUGUAUACUCUGUUACCCCAAUAUAAGCAACAGAAUCAUUUGUUUAUGCAGGGAUUUUGGAAAAUGCCCACUUUCUUCCCCUCCUAAACAAACAUAUCCUUUCCAUAAGCACUCUAGGUAUGCAGCUUCUACCCUGCUUGAAAUGCAUGGUAUUUUUAUGUGAAGAGAAGCAAGUGACUGAAGGCAUAAAUCAAUCUUCACUUUUAGGAGCAUGGCUGUCCUCCAAGUAGAUACUCUUUGGAUGUGUUUGGGAUGACAUCAAACAGAUUAUAUUCCACACUCCAAAUCUUUCACGUUUCUUACCAGAAUUUGGCAUUAGACCCAAUCUGAUAUUCUGCCUUCUGAACACAAGCGAUUCCAUUCAAUCUACAAUCUGCUCAAACAGAAAAGGAAUGAGAAUGCCUGGAUUGCAUUUAUGAACAAAAAGGGAUUAACCAUUUGUGUUAAAGCUUCAAUUCUUUUUUUUAGCCUGACCCUAUUUUAUCAGAGCAAACUGAAGAACAAUGGCUCUGGAAAUAGAUACAAGAAUCAGCAGCAGAACAGAGACUGUUGUAAUGUGCAUAACUAUAAUUAACUUCAAAGGGAAUGAGGCCUAUGCAUCAGUUGGCAGCAAGACAGGGACUUCACCUUUUAGAAUAAGAUAACACCAAAUAUUGCCUAUCUAAUCACAUUUCCAAUGUGUUUAGAGCUCUUUCCAUUCCUCUGUGAACCAUAAUCCUUGUUCAUCUCCAUAUUAUACUUUCUUUAUAGUUUCAUUGAGAACUUCCUAGGAAGCUUUGAUUUUUACUUUUUUUCGUAAGUCUAUCAUAUACACUUUCCUUUUAUUUUGUGCUCUUUAUUUUUAUUCCUAGCCUCAGAGCUAGACAUUUUUGCUGGUCACUUUUGCCAAUUGAUUUUUUAUCUAUUUUGUAACUAUAAUCAUGCACAAUAAAAUGGAUAAUUGCAGUACUGUAACUCUUUUCUUCCAUUCUAAGAUAAGGACUCAGAGCUGUUUAUGCCAAUUCUUCACACAGUGCUGUAAUUACUCUUUUAUAUAUUUUCUAGAAGUGUGUGUGUAUACAUGUGUGCAUUUCACUACUAUAUUAAAGUAAAAUGUUGAUACUGUACUUGUAAAGAGUCUUUGAAAAAAAAAAAAACUAUGAAAAUAAGGUUUUUUAGUUAUUACUACAGUAAGCCUGGAUAUUAUUUUUUGUCUGAUGAGAUCUGUAAAUAAAAAUCUUUUUCUUUUU
ensembl:lncRNA